rnacentral:rRNA from 1 species
AAAGAGUGCGUAAUAGCUCACUGGUCGAGAGGUCCUGCGCCGAAAAUGUCCGGGGCUGAAACGCGCCACCGAAACUAAGGAACCGAAAGGUUGGUAGAGGAGCAUUGCAUGCGGGAAGAAGCAGUACCGUAAGGAGCUGUGGACUGCAUGGAAGAGAGAAUGCCGGAAUGAGUAGCGAGAAUAAGGUGAGAAUCCUUAUGGCCGAAUAUCCAAGGUUUCCAGAGUAAAGCUGAUCUGCUCUGGGUAAGUCGGGGCCUAAGGCGAGGACGAGAGUCGUAGCCGAUGGACAACAGGUGGAGAUUCCUGUACUGCGGUAUGACAGAACUGUGGGGACACGUAAGGAAAGCGGAAGCCGGGAAUGGAAAGCCCGGUGCAAGCGGGGUACCAGUCACUUUGGCAAAUCCGGGUGGCAAUGGGAAGCCGUGAUGCGGAGCGAAAUAAAGUAGCGAAGUCCGUGAGCCAUGCGUCAAGAAAAGCCGCUAUCGUUUAUACCGUACCCGUACCGUAAACCGACACAGGUGGAUGAGGAGAGAAUCCUAAGGCCGGCGGAAGAAGCAUUGUCAAGGAACUCGGCAAAAUGGCCCCGUAACUUAGGGAUAAGGGGUGCCUGGGAAACCAGGCCGCAGAGAAUAGGCUCAAGCAACUGUUUAGCAAAAACACAGGUCUAUGCGAAACCGAAAGGUGAGGUAUAUGGGCUGACGCCUGCCCGGUGCUGGAAGGUUAAGAGGAGAGGUUAGCGCAAGCGAAGCUUUGAAUUUAAGCCCCAGUAAACGGCGGCCGUAACUAUAACGGUCCUAAGGUAGCGAAAUUCCUUGUCGGGUAAGUUCCGACCCGCACGAAAGGCGUAAUGAUUUGAGCGCUGUCUCGACAAUGCAUCCGGUGAAAUUGAAGUACCAGUGAAGAUGCUGGUUACCUGCGCCAGGACGGAAAGACCCCAUGGAGCUUUACUCCAGUCUGGUACUGGGACUCGGUAUUGCAUGUACAGGAUAGGUGGGAGGCUAGGAGAUGGUAACGCCAGUUGCCAUGGAGCCGCUGUUGGGAUACCACCCUUGCAGUAUUGGGUUUCUAACCAGCAGCCGUGAUCCGGCUGGGGGACAAUGUCAGGUGGGGAGUUUGACUGGGGCGGUCGCCUCCGAAAGGGUAUCGGAGGCGCUCAAAGGUUCCCUCAGAAUGGUUGGAAACCAUUCGAAGAGUGCAAAGGCAGAAGGGAGCUUGACUGCGACACCGACGGGUGGAGCAGGUACGAAAGUAGGACUUAGUGAUCCGGUGGUAUAAAGUGGGAUUGCCAUCGCUCAACGGAUAAAAGCUACCCUGGGGAUAACAGGCUUAUCACUCCCAAGAGUUCACAUCGACGGAGUGGUUUGGCACCUCGAUGUCGGCUCAUCGCAUCCUGGGGCUGUAGUAGGUCCCAAGGGUUGGGCUGUUCGCCCAUUAAAGCGGUACGCGAGCUGGGUUCAGAACGUCGUGAGACAGUUCGGUCCCUAUC